GUACACUCCUGCGGGAGGCAGCAGUGGGGAAUAUUGCACAAUGGGCGCAAGCCUGAUGCAGCCAUGCCGCGUGUAUGAAGAAGGCCUUCGGGUUGUAAAGUACUUUCAGCGGGGAGGAAGGCAAUACGGUUAAUAACCGUGUUGAUUGACGUUACCCGCAGAAGAAGCACCGGCUAACUCCGUGCCAGCAGCCGCGGUAAUACGGAGGGUGCAAGCGUUAAUCGGAAUUACUGGGCGUAAAGCGCACGCAGGCGGUCUGUCAAGUCGGAUGUGAAAUCCCCGGGCUCAACCUGGGAACUGCAUUCGAAACUGGCAGGCUUGAGUCUUGUAGAGGGGGGUAGAAUUCCAGGUGUAGCGGUGAAAUGCGUAGAGAUCUGGAGGAAUACCGGUGGCGAAGGCGGCCCCCUGGACAAAGACUGACGCUCAGGUGCGAAAGCGUGGGGAGCAAACAGGAUUAGAUACCCUAGUAGUCCC
rnacentral:rRNA from 1 species